CAGUAUUGCUUACACUCAUUUUUGGACCUAAAUGCAUUAUUACCUGGGCCUAUCACAUGCCCAUGAAUCCAUGCAAAGGAAAAUUGUUGUUUUUGGAAUUUUGAAAUAAGUGUGCAAUUAUCAAUCACUUGGCCUAUAAAUAGAACCCUCCAUGCUCAGAAUUAGGGACCCUGGCGCGCAAGCUUUGAAUCAGCAACCCUAAACCCUCACAUUCAAAGGAUAAGCUUGGUGAUUUUUAUUAAAAUUGAGUUUGAAUCUC
rnacentral:lncRNA from 1 species